rnacentral:rRNA from 1 species
AUGAUUUGUAUUAUUAAAGUUCCAACGGUAAAAGAUGAGUAUGCGUCCCAUUAGCUAGAUGGUAAGGUAACGGCUUACCAUGGCUACGAUGGGUAGGGGGUCCUGAGAGGGAGAUCCCCCACACUGGUACUGAGACACGGACCAGACUCCUACGGGAGGCAGCAGUGAGGAAUAUUGGACAAUGGGCGCAAGCCUGAUCCAGCCAUGCCGCGUGCAGGAUGACGGUCCUAUGGAUUGUAAACUGCUUUUGUACAGGAAGAAACACUGGUUCGUGAACCAGCUUGACGGUACUGUAAGAAUAAGGAUCGGCUAACUCCGUG